UAACACUUCGGUGUUGAUGGCGACCGGCGCACGGGUGCGUAACACGUAUAGAACCUACCCAUAACAGGGGGAUAGCCCAGAGAAAUUUGGAUUAAUACCCCAUAGUGUAUUAAUGAGGCAUCUCAUUUUUAUUAAAGAUUUAUCGGUUAUGGAUGGCUAUGCGUCCUAUUAGUUUGUUGGUGAGGUAAUGGCUCACCAAGGCUACGAUAGGUAGGGGUCCUGAGAGGAAUGUCCCCCACACUGGUACUGAGACACGGACCAGACUCCUACGGGAGGCAGCAGUGAGGAAUAUUGGACAAUGGGCGCAAGCCUGAUCCAGCCAUGCCGCGUGCAGGAAGAAGGCUUUCUAGUUGUAAACUGCUUUUAUUCACGAGGAAUAUGUCCCUUGCGAGGGAUUUUGACGUUAGUGUUUGAAUAAGCACCGGCUAACUCCGUGCCAGCAGCCGCGGUAAUACGGAGGGUGCAAGCGUUAUCCCGGAAUCAU
rnacentral:rRNA from 1 species